rnacentral:hammerhead_ribozyme from 1 species
AUCCAGUUGACGAGUCCCAUAUAGGACGAAACGCGCAUCUUGGAU